GUGCUCACUUCAGCAGCACAUACACUAAAAUUGGAACGAUACAGAGAAGAUUAGCAUGGCCCCUGUGCAAAGAUGACGCAAAUUCGUCAAGCAUUUCUUAUUUAA